UACCUUUUAAAAAUUGCAGCUCGGAGCAGGUGCUCCUUUCCUAAGCAGCUUACAGGUCGGGGGUGGAUGAAUUAGGCUUGUGUGGAGAAACUUCGGCUGCCUUCUCUGGCGUGAAAGAAUGUCGAAGGAAACUUUCACGUUCACUUCUUCCACCCUUCGCUCCUUGCGUCUGCAGCGAGAAAUGCUGGAAUGGGAAGACCGGCGGAGGGCUGCGUCUCGCCAGUCUGUGAGUCGGAGGUACCAGCCUAGUUUGGGGGGCCUCUCUGCACUCCCCAAACUUGCCCGACGCCCACAGUAUUGCCGGGAUCCUGCUGUUCACAAUGCCCUGUACACAGGAGACUUGCCAAGAGUCCGGAGCAUUUUUAAGGACGAAACUACUGCCAACUUGAUUGUGGAGACCCUCAGUGAGGAGCUGGUGUGGUCUGCUGAAAUGGGGCUGUGGGUGCUAACCCCCCAGAAGAAGCACACUUCUCCAUUGUGCAUCACAGCAGCCAGAGGCUACCAGGAUUGUGUGAAGCACCUGCUCUUGCAAGGGGCUGAGGUUGAUGCUGUCGUUGGUGGGAAAGCCGCCAUUCAUGAAAGCUGUGCCAACCACCGCGCAGAGUGCACUCGCCUGCUCCUGAGCUACAGCGCAAACCCCAAUAUUCUUUCGGAGGACGGACUGGCCCCUCUGCAUCUCUGCACCACUCAGGAGUCUUUGCCAUGUGCCCAGCUGCUCUUGGAGUACGGAGCUCUGGUCAACCAGAAUACAAGAGACCACCGUGCUUCCCCAUUGCACGUGGCUGCAAAGCACGGCCUGGACGACCACGCGAAGCUCUACCUCUGCUAUGGAGCAAAGGUUGCCCACAGGAACCGAGAGGGAGAGACAGCCCUCAAUGCGGCCUGCGCCAGUGCGGACAGGCCUGAGGAGGCUGGCCGCUACUACCGGGUGGUGAAGCGGCUGCUGGAAGGUGGGGCCGACGUCAGGAUAGCUGGCCGGAAGAACCAUACGCCCCUGCACAACGCCUGCAGCAACUGCCACAUCCGCAUUGUAGAGCUUCUGCUGCAGCACGGGGCUCAGGUCAACGUUAGAAACUGCGCCGGCUACACACCUGUGGAUUGUGCCCUGCAAGCGGUGGAAGAUUACCUGGAGGGGCAACCUGAGAGGCUCAUAGCCACCUUGCUCAACCAUGGUGCCGCUUCUAUCGAUCCCAAGAUGCUAAAAUUUUGUGCCUUGUCACCUCAGGCUAUGGAGGUUGUUCUAAAUUCCUAUGACCGGAUCCCACCCUGUGAUUCUUGGGUGGAUUCUGUGCCUCUUGAAGUGUGGCAGGUAAAUUCCUCCAAUCCAAUGUAAUGCAACACAAAAACAAACACAUAUACUGUACACGCACUUCUGCAAUCACAAGGCUUGCUGUUUUGUCCUGCAAAAUGGGAGAUGGUGCAUCAAACAAUGAAUCUCGGGAACAGUGCAUCUUGGGAAGAAGGUGAGGCUACAGCUCUGCUUCCCUGACAGCUAGUUUUCUAUGUGUGGAGACUACAUUUUUGUAUAGCGGAGCGCAAAUGCAAGCUCAUCUACCAUUUGUAAAAUCCAGGCCUCGUUUCCCCCCUUCUAACUCAGUACUUUCUGCCACCUGACGUUUCUUUGACUACUUACAUAUUUAUCCCUGAUCUACCCUUAAAAUUCCUGUUGUCUCUAAGCAAAGGGACUACUCAACUAAUCUGGUUAGCCACCCCCUCAACCAUAUCCAACUAAAUUCUACUCAACAAGCCCUCUAAGAUUAAUGGCCCUAAAUUAGUCAUGCCCAUUCAUUUCAGUUGUCUGAACAUUGGGUACAAUCUAUUAUGCCAUCUGAAAGUUCAUGGAACGCCAUUGUUGGGUUAGUUCUCACUGUGGUGGUCAGCUUGUGUCCAUGAGGGCUCUCAUGAUGGUGGAGAACAUGGGGUGGAGAACAUACCUACCUAAACAUGUCUCCUUGAACUAGUAUGUUAGGCUGGAACACACCUCCCUAGUGUGGUGGUUCUCUGUGAAUGUUUAUUUAAAAAAUACCUUGCAAAAGGGAAGAGGGAAGAGUAAGGCUCUCUGGGAGGUUUGAGUGGUACCGCUUGCCUGUCCUGCUGAUGAAUUGAUAGGUGUGUUUCUGGGCUAGCAUUAUUCCCCUAUUACAGAAUUUCUAGUGCUAAUUAUGCGAAAUGUGUGGAGUGCAAAGUGCUCCGUAAAUACUAAGCAUAAUUAUAAUAUCUCCAGAGUUUGGAAAGAUUUGUAGUAGUCCGUUUUAUUUUAUUUUCUAUAAUUAUACUAAGGUAAAGGUCAAAAGGUAAAGGACCCCUGGACGGUUAAGUCCAAUGAAAGGCGACUAUGGGGUUGUGGCGCUCAUCUCGCUUUCAGGCCAAGGGAGCCAGUGUUUGUCCACAGACAGCUUUCUGGGUCAUGUGGCCAGCAUGAAUAAACCGCUUCUGGCACAAUGGAACACCGUGACGGAAGCCAGAGCACACAGAAAUGCUGUUUACCUUCCCGCCAGAGCGGAGCAUCAGGUGUUCUACGAUUCAGCCAUCUGCCUGGUGAAUCAGCCCCGCCCUCUGCAACAUCUG